UACAGAGGGUGCAAGCGUUGUUCGGAAUUACUGGGCGUAAAGGGCGCGUAGGCGGCCUUGUAAGUCAGAUGUGAAAUCCCGGGGCUUAACUCCGGAAGUGCAUUUGAAACUACAAGGCUAGAGUUCAGUAGAGGUUGGCGGAAUACCCAGUGGAGAGGUGAAAUUCGUAGAUAUUGGGUGGAACACCGGUGGCGAAGGCGGCCAACUGGGCUGACACUGACGCUGAGGCGCGAAAGCAUGGGUAGCAAACAGG
rnacentral:misc_RNA from 1 species